UGCAUCAUCAUUCCAG
rnacentral:sRNA from 1 species